rnacentral:rRNA from 1 species
CCUACGGGUGGCAGCAGUGAGGAAUAUUGGUCAAUGGACGAGAGUCUGAACCAGCCAAGUAGCGUGAAGGAUGACUGCCCUAUGGGUUGUAAACUUCUUUUAUAUGGGAAUAAAAUGUUCCACGUGUGGGCGUUUGUAUGUACCAUAUGAAUAAGGAUCGGCUAACUCCGUGCCAGCAGCCGCGGUAAUACGGAGGAUCCGAGCGUUAUCCGGAUUUAUUGGGUUUAAAGGGAGCGUAGGUGGAUUGUUAAGUCAGUUGUGAAAGUUUGCGGCUCAACCGUAAAAUUGCAGUUGAUACUGGCAGUCUAGAGUACAGUAGAGGUAGGCGGAAUGCGUGGUGUAGCGGUGAAAUGCUUAGAGAUCACGAAGAACUCCGAUUGCGAAGGCAGCUCACUGAACUGCAACUGACACUGAGGCACGAAAGUGUGGGUAUCAAACAGGAUUAGAUACCCUGGUAGUC